rnacentral:rRNA from 1 species
UAAGAGAAGUUUUUUAAUAAACGAAGUGAAUUGAAACAUCUUAGUAACUUCAGGAAAAGAAAUCAAAAGAGAUUCUAUAAGUAGCGUGAGUGAAAGUAGAGGAGCCUAUUUAAUAAUAAGUAAAAUGGUUUAGAAACUGUUUGAAUUUAUCGUCCGAUCCCUGUAAGGGAUUGGGCCCGGGGAACCUUCCUCAAAGGCUAAAUAUAAUACAUAAGCGAUAGUGAACAGUAUCGUGAGAUAAUGAUUAGAAUUAGUAGUUUUAUAAGCAGUUCGAGCCAAAGUGAGAACGUACCUUUUGCAUAAUGGGUCACCAAGUUAACAUUAGAUGCGAGUGAAAGCGUAGGUAAACCAAUCGUUAAAAUAACGAAGAGUGUCUAAAGUUAGACCCGAAGCCUGGUGAUUUUACCAUAAUCAGGAUUAUAAAAGUCCGAACGGGUUAUCGUUGUAAAGAUAUCCGAAGAAUUAUGGUAGGUAGUGAAAGACAACACUGACUAGGAUAGCUGGUUUUCUGCGAAACCUAUAACAGUAGGCAAUUUGAGUAACAUCUUAGCAGGUACAGAAUUUAAUCUCAGACAAGAUGUUCUAAUUUUAGUUCGGCGACGAAUUAAAACAACAUGUUGAUUUGUAUAUAUCGGGGGAUCGUGAAGAUUUUAUCGGUGAGUAUGUAGACUCGGAAUGGCAAAGAUGGAUCUUGAAUUAUCAGACAUAGAAUGAUAAGGUUGUAUGUCAAAAGGGAAACAGCCCAGAACAAGAGUUAAGGUUCCAAAAUUAUUAGUUAAGUGAAAUUAAGAAGGUUAUUAUUAAAGUCGACAAGGAGAUGGGCUUAGAAGCAGCCAAAUUUUGAAGACCUCGUAACAGAGCGCUUGUUAAGUUUUAAAAGCAUCGAAAAUUUAACGGAUCUAAACAAUAUACCGACACCUUGUCCAUAUUUUACUAUAUAUAUUAUUGUAAUUUAGUGGGGUAGCAGAACGUUGAAUUAAAUUAGGAUAUUUCUUCUGUGAAGAAAUAUAUAACAAACAAUUCAAGUGAGAAUGGUGACAUGAGUAACGAAUAAGAAGGACAUUUUACCGAAAAAAAUCUAGUUAAAUCUCUACGUACCAUAAUGGUACGUAGGGAGCUGUAUCUUUAGGGAUUCAUUCUUAAAGAGGGGGUAAUCUUCAUCAAGAUUAUCAUACGGUUUACUAGAAUUUUGAGUAAGUACUAAAUCCUCCGCCUAAAGCUUAUGGAUGGAAAAAUAUGCCCCUUAAAGUAACGGCCUCUAAGUUAUAAAUCUAAAGGUUUAAACGAUGAGAAAAUCUUUUUUACUAAAUGACAACACUUACAAGUGAUAAGUGUGCUGGAAAAAAUAGUAAUAUAUUUUGUUAAGUAUAUACAAUAAACUAAAAAGAUGAGUAUAGAAAGAGAAGAUGAAAAAAUAACCGUACCUAGAAACUAAAACAAGUAAGCUAGUAGAGAAUACGAAGGCGUAAAUGAGCUAACAAUCAUAAAGGAACUCGGCAAACUAACUACCGUAACUUCGGGAUAAGGAGAGCUCAUUAGUCCUGAUUAAUAUCGGGUAAAAAGGAAGAAGCAUAAAAUAGUGUUGUACGACUGUUUAAUUAAAACACAGCACUUUGCUAAAAGAUUAAAAAUCGAAGUAUUGAGUGUGAUGUCUGCCCGAUGCCGGCUGGUUAACGAAUUUAACUAAAUUGAUCAAUAAAUUUGGUGUUGAAGGAACCCCCGGUUAAUGGCGGCCUUAACGUGAGGGUCCUAAGGUAGCGAAAUGCCUUGGCCGUUAAAUGCGGUCUUGCAUGAAUGAUGUAACGAUACAACAGCUGUCUCUAUGAUUGACUCAGUGAAAUUGGAAUAACUGUGCAGAUACAGUUUACCUCUAGUUAGACGAGAAGACCCUAUGCAGCUUUACUGUUACUAAUUAUAGGGUAUGAUGAAUUAACUUUCAGAUUAUAAGGUACAUUGAUUCAAUAAAAAUGAAAAUCCUUUAUUUUCACGUCAUACUUCAGAAUUAAUUUUGGAAAUUCACCGGGCUGGAAUGGCGAUUUCGUCAUUUAGGCGGGAGUGAAAGAAAAGAUUAACCUAGUCUGACAUAUAAGUAGCCUUAGGUAAGGAAUAUAUUGUUAGGAGACAGUUUAUGUGGGGCACAGACCCCUUAAAGAGUAAAAGGGAGUGUCUAAAAUUUAUUUGUUAUAAAAUUUAUAACGUUGUUUGUGGUUUUAUGUAGUUUUACUAUAUUUAAUCUUAUGAAAUUCACUUUAUCUACCCUUGUUGUAGGUACGGAUGGAUCUAAGGUACGAUUUUCACUAUGGUGAAAGUAGCGGUAUAGAAAAAAAUAUUAUGAAUAGCGACGUAGUCGCUAUUCUAAUGUUUUUGGAGUUAUUAAGGUGACUGGUAGGAAAAAUCUCCCCCCCCGCUCUUAAUAAUAAUGAUAAAUACUUGAAAAGCUCAACGGCUAAUUCGUGCCAUACUGUUUGAUUAACAACAAAUCUUACAGUUGCGUAAGCAGGGCAUAGGAUCACAAGAUGCAAAAAGGAAAGAUCUUGGAUUAUUGGAAAAGCUACGCUAGGGAUAACAGGCUAAUUUGCGCAAGAGUGUACAAAAUGAGUGCGCGGUUUGGCACCUCGAUGUCGGCUUAACUUAUCCUCAUGGAUGCAGAAACUAUGUAGGGUACGACUGUUCGUCGAUUAAAAAGUUACAUGAGCUGGGUUAAAUACGUCGUGAGACAGUAUGGUUUCUAUCUUCUAGAGGGAAUUUGAAUAAAAUAAGGAUUAACCUUUGUACGAAAGGAACAGGAAAAACUUAACCCUAAAGGUUAGGUUAUAUUAAUUGUUAACCUCUGGUUUACCUGUUGUUUAUAAGCCCAAUAUUAAUUUAUUCUAAAAAUUUAUGAUUUUUAUAAGGGAUGUUACUUACACUAAAGUAAAUAUAUAUUAUAGGCACGGCAGGAAAGCUAAGUUAGUUAAAGAUAAGUGCUGAAAGCAUAUAGGCACGAAGCUUACCUUAAGAUAUUUCUAAUUCACGUAAUAUACUAUUACGGCAUAAUAUUAUUAUUAUUGCAAUAGGCUUUGUUUGUAAUGAUCUAGAGAUCUUAAGA